rnacentral:rRNA from 1 species
CAGCAGCCGCGGUAAUACCGGCGGCCCGAGUGGCGGCCACUAUUAUUGGGCCUAAAGCGUCCGUAGCCGGGCUGGUAAGUCCUCCGGGAAAUCUGGUCGCUUAACGAUCAGACUUCCGGAGGAUACUGCUGGCCUAGGGACCGGGAGAGGCCGAGGGUAUUCCCGGGGUAGGGGUGAAAUCCUGUAAUCCCGGGAGGACCACCUGUGGCGAAGGCGCUCGGCUGGAACGGGUCCGACGGUGAGGGACGAAGGCCAGGGGAGCGAACCGGAUUAGAUACCCGGGUAGUCCUGGCGGUAAACGAUGCGGACUAGGUGUCGGGCAAGCUAAGGGCUUGUCCGGUGCCGCAGGGAAGCCGUUAAGUCCGCCGCCUGGGGAGUACGGCCGCAAGGCUGAAACUUAAAGGAAUUGGCGGG